CCUACGGGAGGCAGCAGUAGGGAAUAUUGCUCAAUGGGGGAAACCCUGAAGCAGCAACGCCGCGUGAAGGAUGAAGGUUUUCGGAUUGUAAACCCCUUUUGUUAGAGAAGAUAAUGACGGUAUCUAACGAAUAAGCACCGGCUAACUACGUGCCAGCAGCCGCGGUAAUACGGAGGGUGCAAGCGUUACCCGGAAUCACUGGGCGUAAAGGGCGCGUAGGCGGGUUAGCAAGUCAGAUGUGAAAUCCUAGGGCUUAACCCUAGAACUGCUGUUGAAACUGUUAUUCUGGAGUAUGGUAGAGGUAGGUGGAAUUCUUGGUGUAGCGGUGAAAUCCGUAGAGAUCAAGAGGAAUACUCAUUGCGAAGGCGACCUGCUAGAACAUAACUGACGCUGAGGCGCGAAAGCGUGGGGAGCAAACAGGAUUAGAUACCCGGGUAGUC
rnacentral:rRNA from 1 species